GACGAACGCUGGCGGCGUGCUUAACACAUGCAAGUCUACGAGAAAGAGGUAGCAAUAUCUUGAUUAAAGUGGCGCACGGGUGAGUAACACGUAAGCAAUCUACCCAAUGAUUUGGAAUAACCCCGCGAAAGCGGGAUUAAUACCGUAUGAUGCAGCGGCAUCGCAUGAUGAUGUUGUUAAAGUUGCAGCAAUGUAACGUCAAUGGAUGAGCUUGCGGCUGAUUAGCUAGUUGGUAGGUAACGGCCUACCAAGGCAACGAUCAGUAGCUGGUCUGAGAGGAUGAUCAGCCACACUGGAACUGAGACACGGUCCAGACUCCUACGGGUGGCAG
rnacentral:rRNA from 1 species